UUGCACUCGGACUACAUCAUGGAUAUCGGAGACCCCGUCCACAACCCCAUCUGGCGCUGGUGGAAGGACCAGGUUGAGUAUAAUGACUACUACUUCUACAUGGCCAGCAACGCUGUGGCGUCCUCGGGCUUCAACGUGGAGAUGGAGAGCUACCAGCGGACCUACUUGAGCUCUGAGA